rnacentral:rRNA from 1 species
AUUGAACGCUGGCGGCAGGCCUAACACAUGCAAGUCGAACGGUAACAGAAAGCAGCUUGCUGCUUUGCUGACGAGUGGCGGACGGGUGAGUAAUGUCUGGGAAACUGCCUGUUGGAGGGGGAUAACUACUGGAAACGGUAGCUAAUACCGCAUAACGUCGCAAGACGAAAGAGGGGGACCUUCGGGUCUCUUGCCAUCGGAUGUGCCCAGAUGGGAUUAGCUAGUAGGUGGGGUAACGGCUCACCUAGGCGACGAUCCCUAGCUGGUCUGAGAGGAUGACCAGCCACACUGGAACUGAGACACGGUCCAGACUCCUACGGGAGGCAGCAGUGGGGAAUAUUGCACAAUGGGCGCAAGCCUGAUGCAGCCAUGCCGCGUGUAUGAAGAAGGCCUUCGGGUUGUAAAGUACUUUCAGCGGGGAGGAAGGGAGUAAAGUUAAUACCUUUGCUCAUUGACGUUACCCGCAGAAGAAGCACCGGCUAACUCCGUG